rnacentral:rRNA from 1 species
CAGAGGUGGCAAGCGUUGUUCGGAAUUACUGGGCGUAAAGGGCGCGUAGGCGGCUUGGUCAGUCCCGUGUGAAAUCCCUCGGCUCAACUGAGGAACUGCACGGGAAACUGCCUGGCUUGAGUUCGGGAGAGGGAAGCGGAAUUCCGGGUGUAGCGGUGAAAUGCGUAGAUAUCCGGAGGAACACCGGUGGCGAAGGCGGCUUCCUGGACCGACACUGACGCUGAGGCGCGAAAGCUAGGGGAGCAAACGGGAUUAGAUACCCCGGUAGUCCUAGCUGUAAACGAUGAGUGCUGGGUGUAGGGGGUAUCAACCCCCCCUGUGCCGAAGCUAACGCAUUAAGCACUCCGCCUGGGGAGUACGGUCGCAAGGCUG